rnacentral:rRNA from 1 species
AUUGAACGCUGGCGGCAUGCUUUACACAUGCAAGUCGAACGGCAGCACGGGCUUCGGCCUGGUUGCGCGUGGCGAACGGGUGAGUAAUAUAUCUGAACGUCCCCAGAAGUGGGUGAUAACGUAGCGAAAGUUACGCUAAUACCGCAUACGAUCUGUGGAUGAAAGACGGGGAGCGCAAGGCCUUUUGCUCCUGGGGCGGCCGAUAUCGGAUUAGCUAGUUGGUGAGGUAAAGGCUCACCAAGGCGACGAUCCGUAGCUGGUCUGAGAGGACGACCAGCCGCACUGGAACUGAGACACGGUCCAGACUCCUACGGGAGGCAGCAGUGGGGAAUUUUGGACAAUGGGCGCAAGCCUGAUCCAGCAAUGCCGCGUGAGUGAAGAAGGCCUUCGGGUUGUAAAGCUCUUUUGUCAGGGAAGAAACGGUAGAGGCUAAUAUCCUUUGCUAAUGACGGUACCUGAAGAAUAAGCACCGGCUAACUACGUG